GAGUUCCAAACAAUUUAUUUGGACAAUCCACCUUCAAGAAAGUGAAGACCAAUUUUUCCCUUCUUUCCAGGGAGCUAUGAAGUUGCUCUCUUCCUAUGAGUACAGUUUGCCGUUGUCCUAACUCUUCUCACAAUCUAAUUUUACUGCUUUCAUCUUUAUUGAGUUCUCCAAGGAGAAGAAAGCAUCCAAGUAUUCUGGAAAUAUAACAAACUAAGAUUCAGGAGACCUGAGUUGUCUUAAUUCUGACACAUACUACUGGGCUAGUCACAAACUCUGGAGCCUCUAAUUCUUCUUUGCAAAGCUUAGGAGAGAAUUCUCUUUGGGCCAUAUGAAUUUUCAUAAUUGUGGUUCUAUGUACAAAUUCUCAAGAUUAAGUUCAAAUACCAACAUUGACAUUUACUAGCUAUAAAAUUCUAGACAAGCACCUUAAUCUCCUUCAACUUGAAUAUCCUUAUCUAUAAAUAGGGUUAGUAUUAGUGUCUACAUCUUUAGAUUUUUAUAAGGAUUAAUGUAUACUACAUUAAAACAUGACCUAGAAAACAGUACAUUCUAGAGCAGGGGUAGUGAACCUAUGGUGUGCAUAUCAUAGAGGGCUGUUUGUUAUCACUGAAAGUUCUAAAAGGUUCGCCAUCUCUGUACUAGAGAACAACAAUAAUAAUAACAGCAAUAAUAUGCCUGCUCUUGAAAUAGAGUGCCCUGGUACAAAGCAUCAUCUUCAGACAAGUCUCCAUUGAACAACACAAGGAUCUCUUUCUCCACCUUUCCUCUCUGUAUGUUUUUCUGGCUUCUCAACCACUCGUCUGAUGGACAUAUUCUCUCUUUCAAUAUAUUGGUAGAUGUAAUUGACCAAGAAUUAAGACACCACUGGCCUAGUGUUGUUUUUCCUCAAAUCAGUACAUUUGUCAGUGUCUACUUCUCUCCUUUAAUUCAGUUUUUGCCGUUUGCUGGGAGGUCUUGCUCAUUUUUCCCAAUUCCAUAUUCUUGAGGGACUCAUAAUAGUCCCCACUUUGGGCCGUAAGCUGAAACUGGAGAAUUUCUGCGGUUAUUUUGAAUACAUGAACAACUCUAUGAUUAGAUUUCAGUUGCAUACAUAGCAAUAUCUGCAUAAAGAUCUUUAAAACUUGAUAUUGAGAAAGAGAUAAAAUAACCGAAAAAAGGACAGACUGUCACCAUGACAAAUUGAAGAAAGAUGUUAAGCAG
ensembl:lncRNA